ACCUUGAAGAAGCUCCGGAGGAAGUGCACGACGCUGAGCAUGGUGGCCCCGCGGAGCCGGGGCCCCGGAGCCCGCCGGCAGGACCCGCAGCCGAGCGACCGAACCGGCGCUCCCGGAACGCCAGCCCCCGCCCCGCCCCGGCGCUCGCCCCGGGCCGGCAGACACGCCCCGCCUCCCCGCGCCCGGCCACUCCGGGCACUUGCGGGUCUCCCGGGACGCUCCCGGGCGCCCGCCCCGCCCGCUCCCGUCCCGACACUAGGAGCCAUCGGCGGCGACGCGGCUCAGGGGCCCCAGGGAACAGCCCCACCACCGCUCCCGCGGGGUUCCUGCCCUUGCGGGGAGCCUCGGAGCGCUCUCUAAGAAGGAGCGGGUGAACUGGCGCCGUGCGCUUCUGCCCCGACGCGGCACAAGUUGCGCGUCGCGCCGAGUCCCGGGCCUGUACGCUAUACCCUCGUCUUGAGACUUUGCCCCCACUCCCGGGCAGGGGAGGCCUCUCUUUCUGCCUGAGAGCUUUGCUUUUCAGUCUUUGAGAGCCUGCAGAGCAUUUGCCUGAGGUUCUCAUUUACCAUGUGAGGAAACUGAGUCCCAGACAGGCUCAGCAACAUGUGUGAGCUCACGUAUCUGACGAGCGCUGAGGAUGAGCUAGAAUCCCCAGGACUAAUUCUUGCUCAAGAACUCACUCUAGCUCCUCUCCCUGCCGUUCCAGUCGCGUCCCUGCAGGGAGGGUAUAAGUUGGGAAUCGUCCCUCAGGGGCAAAGGGAAGUCCUCGCUGUUUUCUUUGUGGGGCUUUAGGACAGGAGGCCUGUCCAAGAGACACUCCCACGGGCCACUAGAACCACAAGAUUUUUAUGAACCAACUAAAAUGUUUUAAUUUUAAUUGCUUUUAAAAACAAAAGAACUUGAGUAAAAUAAUAAUAAUAUCCAGCCUGGAUUAUAUUAAUCUUUAUACAAACACAGUUGUAAAAAAUAUAUUUAAAAUCAUAUCUAUAUCUAUAUAUCUGUAUCUGUAUCUAUAUAUAUUUAUUCUAAAAGAGACCCAGGAAGGAAAAGUGCCAAGGGCCCAUGGGUGUCAUACUGUACUCCUGCUCCAAACCUACCAUUUCUGGGAUCCAGAGCCUUAAGGGGGGGGGGGCGGUUAGCAUCUGACCAGACUGGCUUUGCAUAUUCCUGCAGGCCUCCCCAAUUUCUGGCCCCUUUGAUUACUAUUUCUGACCAGCAGCACAUGUCCAGUGUUUCUUGGCAGAGUAGUUUCUCCCCCACACCCAGCCUACUUCUGCUUCUUCCCAGACCUUCAGAGCAGCCAGACCAGAGCAGAA
rnacentral:lncRNA from 1 species